rnacentral:rRNA from 1 species
AUGGGCUUGUGUACGUUUCACUCGCCUCUUGUGUCCUCUACAGUCUUCCUUGUAGGCAGAAAGAGUUCGCGGCUGCCGCCGGGCCCGACGCCGAUCCCUCUCCUCGGCAACAUCUUUGACAUCCAAGGCGAUCUGCACCAGGCCCUUACCAGGCUCGCCCGGGUGCACGGCCCCAUCAUAUCCAUCAAGCUCGGCGCCACCACCGCCGUCGUGGCCUCGUCCGCCGCGUGCGCCCGCGACGUGCUGCAGAAGUACGACCACCUCCUGGCGGCGCGGUCCGUCGCCGACGCCGCGCGCACGCUGGGCAACCACGAGCGCUCCAUCAUAUGGCUGCCGUCCAGCAGCCCGCUGUGGAAGCGCCUCCGCGCCGUGUGCACCAACCACCUGUUCUCGGCGCACGCCCUCGACGCGGCCCGCGCGGUGCGGGAGGAGAAGGUGAGGGGCCUGGUGGGCUGCAUCCGCGGCCAUGCCGGGGAGACCGUGGAGGUCGGCCGCGUCGUGCUCUCCGGGCUGUUCAACAUCGUCUCGAGCGUGCUGUUUUCCGAGGAGGUGGGCGACCUGAGCUCAGACCGGGCGCAGGGUCUCGAGACGCUGACCAACGACCUCCUCAUGGAGCUCAUCAAGCCGAACAUGUCGUACCUCUUUCCCGUGCUCUCUGUUCUUGACUUGCAGGGCCGCCGCCGCCGUACCGUCGAGCAUCUGAGGAGGUUCUUUGACUUCUUUGACCCGAUUAUUGAGCGUCGUAUGAUGGCCGGAGGUGAAAGGCAGGGGGAUUUCUUGGAUGUGCUACUCCAGCUUCACUCGGUGGAUCAGCUCAGCAUUCAGACAAUCAAGUCCUUUCUUUUGGAUCUGUUCAUAGCAGGGACAGAGACAAACGCUCUCACUGUGGAGUGGACGAUGGCCGAGCUACUUCGGCACCCGGCCGUCAUGUCAAAGGUUCGCGCCAAGCUGCAGGAAGUGGUCGGUGCAGAGCAGUAUCCCGACGAAUCUAACAUCAGCAGGCUGCCGUAUCUCCAGGCCGUGCUGAUGGAGAGCAUGCGUCUACACCCGCCAAGCCCGCUCCUGAUACCGCACCAGGCCAUGGCUGAAGGCGCGGAGGUCGGGGGCUUCGUGGUGCCCAAGGGCGCCAUGGUGAUCGUCAACCUGUGGGCCAUCAUGCGUGACCCGGCGACGUGGACGCAGCCCGAGGAGUUCAUGCCGGAGAGGUUCAUCGGGGCGGACAUGGACUUCCGGGGCAAGGACCGGUUCGAGUUCAUGCCGUUCGGGGCGGGGAGAAGGGCCUGCCCUGGGAUGCCCAUGGCGACAAGGGUUGUGACCCUCAUCCUCGCGUCCCUGCUGCACAGGUUUGAGUGGAGGCUGCCCGAGGGGAUGCAGCCCUGCGACGUGGAUGUUCGGGACCGGUAUAGGAUGUCUCUCAACAUGGUCACGCCAAUCAAGGCCGUGCCACUGCCAUUGUUCUCGUGA